AAAGAUGUAGCCUCUGUUAAGGUGCUGUGGCGGAACAACAAUAGGGAAGAAAUGACCUGGGAGGCCGAAGAGGAGAUGAAGAAGAAAUAUCCUCAUUUGUUCCCUAUGCCCUCAGUUGUCUUGGAGGAAGAAGCACUUGGUUCAUCAAUUUGAUCACCUAUUCAAGUAAAGAAGACUAUAGAAAAAGAUUUUUGACGAAACGGGAAGUGAGCUUGGAUAGGCGUGCAAAGCUCAAAAGGUACCGACGACAGGUUUGCUGAUCCGCCCGCUUAGGAUCUUAUUCUGCUAUUUUGGAGCGCUCUUUUAUUCAGAGCCAUCUUUUGGUACAGUCUGUCAUUUCUAUAUAUGUAUAUUCCCGUUCAUGGGUACGGC